rnacentral:rRNA from 1 species
GGAAUAUUGCACAAUGGGGGAAACCCUGAUGCAGCGACGCCGCGUGAGUGAAGAAGUAUUUCGGUAUGUAAAGCUCUAUCAGCAGGGAAGAAAAUGACGGUACCUGACUAAGAAGCCCCGGCUAACUACGUGCCAGCAGCCGCGGUAAUACGUAGGGGGCAAGCGUUAUCCGGAUUUACUGGGUGUAAAGGGAGCGUAGACGGCAUGGCAAGUCUGAAGUGAAAUGCGGGGGCUCAACCCCUGAACUGCUUUGGAAACUGUUAAGCUAGAGUGUCGGAGAGGUAAGUGGAAUUCCUAGUGUAGCGGUGAAAUGCGUAGAUAUUAGGAGGAACACCGGUGGCGAAGGCGGCUUACUGGACGAUGACUGACGUUGAGGCUCGAAAGCGUGGGGAGCAAACA